UACGUAGGGGGCAAGCGUUGUCCGGAAUCAUUGGGCGUAAAGAGCGUGUAGGCGGCCCGGUAAGUCCGCCGUGAAAGUCCAGGGCUCAACCCUGGAAUGCCGGUGGAAACUGCCGGGCUGGAGUCCGGAAGAGGCGAGUGGAAUUCCUGGUGUAGCGGUGAAAUGCGCAGAUAUCAGGAGGAACACCAAUGGCGAAGGCAGCCCGCUGGGACGGUACUGACGCUGAGACGCGAAAGCGUGGGGAGCAAACAGG
rnacentral:rRNA from 1 species